rnacentral:rRNA from 1 species
UCCUGACUGACCGAUAGUGAACCAGUACCGUGAGGGAAAGGCGAAAAGAACCCCGGCGAGGGGAGUGAAAAAGAACCUGAAACCGUGUACGUACAAGCAGUGGGAGCACGCUUAGGCGUGUGACUGCGUACCUUUUGUAUAAUGGGUCAGCGACUUAUAUUCUGUAGCAAGGUUAACCGAAUAGGGGAGCCGAAGGGAAACCGAGUCUUAACUGGGCGUUAAGUUGCAGGGUAUAGACCCGAAACCCGGUGAUCUAGCCAUGGGCAGGUUGAAGGUUGGGUAACACUAACUGGAGGACCGAACCGACUAAUGUUGAAAAAUUAGCGGAUGACUUGUGGCUGGGGGUGAAAGGCCAAUCAAACCGGGAGAUAGCUGGUUCUCCCCGAAAGCUAUUUAGGUAGCGCCUCGUGAAUUCAUCUCCGGGGGUAGAGCACUGUUUCGGCAAGGGGGUCAUCCCGACUUACCAACCCGAUGCAAACUGCGAAUACCGGAGAAUGUUAUCACGGGAGACACACGGCGGGUGCUAACGUCCGUCGUGAAGAGGGAAACAACCCAGACCGCCAGCUAAGGUCCCAAAGUCAUGGUUAAGUGGGAAACGAUGUGGGAAGGCCCAGACAGCCAGGAUGUUGGCUUAGAAGCAGCCAUCAUUUAAAGAAAGCGUAAUAGCUCACUGGUCGAGUCGGCCUGCGCGGAAGAUGUAACGGGGCUAAACCAUGCACCGAAGCUGCGGCAGCGACGCUUAUGCGUUGUUGGGUAGGGGAGCGUUCUGUAAGCCUGCGAAGGUGUGCUGUGAGGCAUGCUGGAGGUAUCAGAAGUGCGAAUGCUGACAUAAGUAACGAUAAAGCGGGUGAAAAGCCCGCUCGCCGGAAGACCAAGGGUUCCUGUCCAACGUUAAUCGGGGCAGGGUGAGUCGACCCCUAAGGCGAGGCCGAAAGGCGUAGUCGAUGGGAAACAGGUUAAUAUUCCUGUACUUGGUGUUACUGCGAAGGGGGGACGGAGAAGGCUAUGUUGGCCGGGCGACGGUUGUCCCGGUUUAAGCGUGUAGGCUGGUUUUCCAGGCAAAUCCGGAAAAUCAAGGCUGAGGCGUGAUGACGAGGCACUACGGUGCUGAAGCAACAAAUGCCCUGCUUCCAGGAAAAGCCUCUAAGCAUCAGGUAACAUCAAAUCGUACCCCAAACCGACACAGGUGGUCAGGUAGAGAAUACCAAGGCGCUUGAGAGAACUCGGGUGAAGGAACUAGGCAAAAUGGUGCCGUAACUUCGGGAGAAGGCACGCUGAUAUGUAGGUGAAGUCCCUUGCGGAUGGAGCUGAAAUCAGUCGAAGAUACCAGCUGGCUGCAACUGUUUAUUAAAAACACAGCACUGUGCAAACACGAAAGUGGACGUAUACGGUGUGACGCCUGCCCGGUGCCGGAAGGUUAAUUGAUGGGGUCAGCGCAAGCGAAGCUCUUGAUCGAAGCCCCGGUAAACGGCGGCCGUAACUAUAACGGUCCUAAGGUAGCGAAAUUCCUUGUCGGGUAAGUUCCGACCUGCACGAAUGGCGUAAUGAUGGCCAGGCUGUCUCCACCCGAGACUCAGUGAAAUUGAACUCGCUGUGAAGAUGCAGUGUACCCGCGGCAAGACGGAAAGACCCCGUGAACCUUUACUAUAGCUUGACACUGAACAUUGAGCCUUGAUGUGUAGGAUAGGUGGGAGGCUUUGAAGUGUGGACGCCAGUCUGCAUGGAGCCGGCCUUGAAAUACCACCCUUUAAUGUUUGAUGUUCUAACGUGGACCCGUGAUCCGGGUUGCGGACAGUGUCUGGUGGGUAGUUUGACUGGGGCGGUCUCCUCCUAAAGAGUAACGGAGGAGCACGAAGGUUGGCUAAUCCUGGUCGGACAUCAGGAGGUUAGUGCAAUGGCAUAAGCCAGCUUGACUGCGAGCGUGACGGCGCGAGCAGGUGCGAAAGCAGGUCAUAGUGAUCCGGUGGUUCUGAAUGGAAGGGCCAUCGCUCAACGGAUAAAAGGUACUCCGGGGAUAACAGGCUGAUACCGCCCAAGAGUUCAUAUCGACGGCGGUGUUUGGCACCUCGAUGUCGGCUCAUCACAUCCUGGGGCUGAAGUAGGUCCCAAGGGUAUGGCUGUUCGCCAUUUAAAGUGGUACGCGAGCUGGGUUUAGAACGUCGUGAGACAGUUCGGUCCCUAUCUGCCGUGGGCGCUGGAGAACUGAGGGGGGCUGCUCCUAGUACGAGAGGACCGGAGUGGACGCAUCACUGGUGUUCGGGUUGUCAUGCCAAUGGCACUGCCCGGUAGCUAAAUGCGGAAGAGAUAAGUGCUGAAAGCAUCUAAGCACGAAACUUGCCCCGAGAUGAGUUCUCCCUGACCCUUUAAGGGUCCUGAAGGAACGUUGA